ACCAGGAUGGCCGAGUGGUUAAGGCGUUGGACUUAAGUUCCAAUGUACGAAUGUACGCGUGGGUUCGAACCCCACUCCUGGUA
rfam:Nematostella vectensis strain CH2 x CH6 NEMVEscaffold_350_Cont24649, whole genome shotgun sequence.